rnacentral:rRNA from 1 species
GAGGAAAAGAAACUAACAAGGAUUCCCCUAGUAACUGCGAGUGAAGCGGGAAAAGCUCAAAUUUAAAAUCUGGUAGUCUUUGGCUGCCCGAGUUGUAAUCUAGAGAAGCGUUAUCCGCGCUGGACCGUGUGUAAGUCUCCUGGAAUGGAGCGUCAUAGAGGGUGAGAAUCCCGUCUUUAACACGGACUACCAGGGCUUUGUGAUGCGCUCUCAAAGAGUCGAGUUGUUUGGGAAUGCAGCUCUAAAUGGGUGGUAAAUUCCAUCUAAAGCUAAAUAUUGGCGAGAGACCGAUAGCGAACAAGUACCGUGAGGGAAAGAUGAAAAGAACUUUGGAAAGAGAGUUAAACAGUACGUGAAAUUGUUGAAAGGGAAACGCUUGAAGUCAGUCGCGUUGGUCAGGGAUCAACCUUGCUUUUGCUUGGUGUACUUCCUGGUUAACGGGUCAGCAUCAAUUUUGACCAGUGGAAAAAGGUCAGGGGAAUGUGGCAUCUUAGGAUGUGUUAUAGCCUCUGGCCAUAUACAUUGGUUGGGAUUGAGGAACUCAGCACGCCGCAAGGCCGGGUUUUAACCACGUUCGUGCUUAGGAUGCUGGCAUAAUGGCUUUAAUCGACCCGUCUUG